rnacentral:misc_RNA from 1 species
GAUGAUGGAGUGCUUGAAUCGUCUGAAUCGUCUAUGCAUAUGGAGAUUUUUUAAAGGUUCUUAUGAAUUAGUGUCAUCAAUUCAGAGAAGCAUUAUUCCUGGUUAACAGUUCAUAAUUUUUCAGCGUCAAAUUGCUUCUUUUCUUUCGCAUAACUCACAUUUGGCGCUGCUCCAAGCGACAUCUUAUGAUAUGAUUGCUAUCUUAUUUGUUCAUGUCACGUCAAUUGUGCUGGAUCGCCAAAAUGUGAUUUGUAAAUGGGAGAUUAUGCAGUUUGUACCAAUAUCUUGUAUGUUUCGAUAAGGCAUUGUACAGGUUUGACUCAGCUUAUGAAGCAUGAAACUGCAGUAAUGAAAACGAGAUAAAUAGACUACGCAUUCAGAAGCACACAAGUGCAUGGGAGUUGAA